AUAUAUUUUAUUUUAGUAUUUAAUUUUUCUUAUUUUUUUUAUUUACAUAUAAUUUUUUUAUUUAAUAUUUUAUUUAGUAGUAAUUAUAUUUAUUUAUUUAAAUAGUUUUAGAUUUAGAAAUAAAAGUUAAAAUUAACUCAUUUUGUGCCAGCAGUUGCGGUUAUACAAUUAAUUUAAAGAAAAUUUUAUGAAUUAAUAUUUACAUAAUUUAAUGAAGUAAAAAAUUUAAAAUUAGGGGGUAAAAUUUUAAUUUUUUAUAUUUAUUUUUUUUGUAGUUAAUAUGAAAUUAUUUUCAAGAAACCAGGAUUAGAUACCCUGUUAUUAUAAUGUAAAGUAAUUUUGAAGUAGUAUUUGUUAUGGUCUUUAAACUUAAGAGAUUUGGCAGUAUUUUAUCUUUUUAGAGGAACCUGUUAAUUAAUUUGAUAAUCCACGACUUAAAGUUACUUUUAUUUUAAAUAACUUGUAUACCGUUGUCACGAAUAUAUUUAAAAAUUAAUUUUCUUUGUUUUUAUAAAAUUUAUGUUAAAUCAAGGUGCAGUUUAUAAAAGUUUACAAUGGGUUACUUUUUAUCUUAUGAAUGAAUUUAUAUGAUUUUUUUUAUUUAAGAAAUUGGAUUUAAUAGUAAUUCUAUUAAAGAAAUUUAAUGAAUUUAGAUUCUAAAAUAUGUACACAUUGCCCGUCGCUCUUAUUUUAAAAUAAGAUAAGUCGUAACAUAGUAGAUGUACCGGAAGGUGCUUCUAGAAAGAAG
rnacentral:ncRNA from 1 species